rnacentral:ncRNA from 1 species
UGAACAGGGGUGCUGAUGAAAUUCGGCUGAGAUAAAAGUUAGUAUACUUUUGACCCUUAUACCUGAUGCGGAUAAUGCCGACGAAGGAAGUUUUAAAAA